AAGAAUUUAAUGGUCGAACAGACCAAAAUAUUGAAAAUCUACACCCAAAAAUUAUCUUAAUUCAACAUCGAGGUCGCAAACUUUUUUAUCGAUAAGAACUCUCCAAAAAAAUUACGCUGUUAUCCCUAAGGUAAGUUAAUCUUAUAAUCAAAAAUUCUGGAUCAAAAAUACAUUAAUUAAUGAAAAUGUAAAAUAAAAGUUAAAAAAAUUUUACUGUCACCCCAACAAAAUUAAAUAUUUUAAAAAUUAAAAAAUUAACUAAAAUAAACAUUUAUAUAUUUAAUAAACUUCUACAGGGUCUUCUCGUCCUAUAAAAAAAUUUUAUUUUUUUAAAUAAAAAAAUAAAUUCAAAUAAAUUAAUUAAAUAAAGUUAAUCAUUCAUCAAACCAUUCAUUCUAGCCUCCAAUUAAAAGACAAGUGAUUAUGCUACCUUCGUACAGUUAAAAUACCGCAGCCUUUUAAUUCUUUAAAUCAAUGGGCAGGCCCAAUCUUAUAUUUUAAACAAAAAAAC
rnacentral:rRNA from 1 species